rnacentral:lncRNA from 1 species
AAGGACUGUUUUGUGCGCCACUGCACUACACACUAGACGGACGUACAUGAGGACAGCGCACCGAUAACUUAUCUUAUUACUGGGCUGGUGGGAAAUUCAUAACACUUUGGAGGUUGAUUUGUGUAUUAUCUGCACCAGACCUCAACAUAGCUGUUUGACGGACCACAAUGGCUGUGUACUCCAGACACCUGGAUCUCUCCUUGCCUUGACAAUACAGUUUACAAUUAAACGUGAGAAAGACCCAAACAUCUAAUAAUACUUAGCACCAACCAGGAGUUUCUUUGUUGAACUGUUUCUGUUCCUGUUGAGUGUUAUAUCACUGAG